rnacentral:rRNA from 1 species
CCCUACGGGNNUGCAGCAGGCGCGAAAACUUUACAAUGCGGGAAACCGUGAUAAGGGGACACCGAGUGCCAGCAUCAUAUGGUGGCUCUCCGGGUGUGUAAAAUACACCUGUUAGCAAGGGCCGGGCAAGAACGGAGCCAGCCGCCGCGGUAACACCGGCGGCCCGAGUGGUGAUCGUGAUUAUUGGGUCUAAAGGGUCCGUAGCCGGUUUGGUCAGUCCUCCGGGAAAUCUGACGGCUCAACCGUAGGCUUUCCGAGGAUACUGCCAGACUUGGAACCGGGAGAGGUAAGAGGUACUACAGGGGUAGGAGUGAAUCCCUGUAAU